rnacentral:lncRNA from 1 species
CGGCUGCAAGCGGCUCCGCGGACCCGAGCCCGCACCUCCCGCUGCCCCGCGGCCCGAGGCACCUGCGGCGACGCGCCCAGGUCGGACCCUCCGACCAGCGCGCUCCUGCGGCCGAGCGCGCGCCGCUCCCGCUGCGGCGCCGACCCGCGCCGCCGGCCCUCCCCGCUCCCCCCGGACACCCCGCGGCCACGGGCCGCCCCAUCCUGUCCCCGGCGCGGUCAGGCCGAGGAGGAGGCGACAGCCGCAUCCCGGCGGGGUCGUGACGGAGCCGCCGCAAAGCCCGAGCCGAGAGCCGCGGGGACUGCGGGAGGCGCGAGGGGGUCCCGCGAUGGCGCCCCUCGGCCCGCGCGGGUCUCUCCGCCCCGGGGCCCCGCAGUGUCAGUGCGCGGCAGGGGCGGCCGCGGGGCCCCGGGCUCGCCCUCGGCGCCCUCCGCCCGGCAGCCGGCGCUGCAACCAAAGUUUCCCCAAGUGCCGCCCGCAGAGACGGCGCCGCUCGCCGGCCGGACGCGCUGUCGGGGCGGCGGCGGCGACUCCCACCUCCCGGCUCGGCAGGGACCCCCGGCGCCGGCGGCCCGGCGCCCUCCGGGCUGGGCUUGCUCCUCCGCGGCGCCCGGCGGCUCGAGGCGCAGACCCGGAGGUGCCGCCCUGCGCCGCCCCUGCCGCCGGAGAGAGCGCGCGGCGGCCCGGGCUGCGAGCCGUGGGCGCGGGGGCCGCGAGGCGCGCACCUCGCCAGACGCCGGCGGCGCCGCGCUGCGGCCGCGAGUGACGCGCGGGCUCGGGCUCGGGCUCGGGCUGCGCGGCGGGGGCGGCGGGGCCGAGGUCUGCCCUCGAGGCUCGGCCUCCCGUCCCUGCACGUGCGCCCCCGCCCCAGCCCGGCCGCUGUGCUCGGCCCGGGCGGCUCGGCCCCGAGCAGGGGCCGCAGGGUCUUCCAGCUGCGGGGCGCGACCGCUGCUGCAUCUCGGGCCCCGGUUCCCCCGUCCGUCUCUGCGUCCCUCCCCCGGUUCACAUCCUCCCGGCUGCUCCCUGUCUGUCCCCCGCGGGUCCCUCUUUCCCUUUCGGGUCCCUGAACCUCCUUUAGGAACGGCCGGAGUUUCACUUCAGCUUGGGGGGGGUGGGUGGGGGUGGGAGCAACCCUUCUUGUUUUUGUUGUUAUGA